rnacentral:rRNA from 2 species
UUGCUCCCUGAGAUUAGCGGCGGACGGGUGAGUAACACGUGGGCAACCUGCCUAUAAGACUGGGAUAACUUCGGGAAACCGGAGCUAAUACCGGAUACGUUCUUUUCUCGCAUGAGAGAAGAUGGAAAGACGGUUUCGGCUGUCACUUAUAGAUGGGCCCGCGGCGCAUUAGCUAGUUGGUGAGGUAAUGGCUCACCAAGGCGACGAUGCGUAGCCGACCUGAGAGGGUGAUCGGCCACACUGGGACUGAGACACGGCCCAAACUCCUACGGGAGGCAGCAGUAGGGAAUCUUCCGCAAUGGACGAAAGUCUGACGGAGCAACGCCGCGUGAACGAAAAAGGCCUUCGGGUCGUAAAGUUCUGUUGUUAGGGAAAAACAAGUACCAGAGUAACUGCUGGUACCUUGACGGUACCUAACCAGAAAGCCACGGCUAACUACGUGCCAGCAGCCGCGGUAAUACGUAGGUGGCAAGCGUUGUCCGGAAUUAUUGGGCGUAAAGCGCGCGCAGGUGGUUCCUUAAGUCUGAUGUGAAAGCCCACGGCUCAACCGUGGAGGGUCAUUGGAAACUGGGGAACUUGAGUGCAGAAGAGGAAAGUGGAAUUCCAAGUGUAGCGGUGAAAUGCGUAGAGAUUUGGAGGAACACCAGUGGCGAAGGCGACUUUCUGGUCUGUAACUGACACUGAGGCGCGAAAGCGUGGGGAGCAAACAGGAUUAGAUACCCUGGUAGUCCACGCCGUAAACGAUGAGUGCUAAGUGUUAGA